rnacentral:misc_RNA from 1 species
GAACGCACAUUGCGCCCUCUGGUAUUCCGGAGGGCAUGCCUGUUCGAGCGUCAUUUGAAGACAAUCAAGCCCUCUGGCUUGGCCUUGAGGCCUCCGUCCCUUCAGCGGGGCGGCCUCUAAAUAAGUCGGCGGCGGCCUGGAGCCUCUAGCGUAGUAGAAUACAUUCCGCUUAGAGUCUCUCGUGCUUCCUGCCUCUAGACCCCCAAACAUAUUCUAAGAUUGACCUCGGAUCAGGUAGGGAUACCCGCUGAACUUAAG